GUGGCUGACGUUGACUAGUUGCAUUAAUUAGCAAUUUAAUGGGACUUCUGUCUGCCACAUAGAAGAAUUGGUUUCUGCCGACAGGGCCUGUUGAGACGUUGGGCUCCCUGUGCGAUGACUCCAUACAUG